AAGACGAUAAUUCAGAAAAAAUUAUUUUUCAAUAAAGAAAACACAAAAAUGAUGUUCACAGAAUUGAAUGAAAAUACUUGUAUAUUUAGGGGAACUGAUUAACCUUUUUGUACAUACAACUUACUAUUCUCUAUCAAAAGAUGAAAAAUAGAGAGAGAAUGAGGGGGGAGUAGGUUGUGGAUGUAGAAAAGAAAUAACACUGGGAGAGAGAUAAAGAAGAGUAGGAGAGAAAUAAGUGGGAGAGGAUCAGAGUAGUUUGAGUGUAAAAAAUAACUGGAGGGAAUAGAGUUAACAGAACCAAAUUAUAAGAUUAAUUAAUUUGUUUUUAAAAUACAUGGAAUAAUUAAUUAGUUUUAUUGAAAUAAAUGAACUAAAUAGUAGUUUGACUAGUAUUGACUAACGGAAAAAUUGAUGGAUGACUAAAUAGUUUAACGAACUAAAAAUAAAGGAAUUAAAUGGUAUACUUUUCAAAUAUAGGGACUAAGUAGUUAGUUUUCUUAACAUAUAGGGACUAUAUAGUAAUUUUCCCUUUGUUUUUUUAAUAUUGUAAGAAACAAAGUUAGUUGUUACUCAUAACUUCUGUCAUUUUUUGCUCCCUUAAUUUUAACACUCUUUAACUUUUACUUUUGUAACUUUUUAACUUUCAAUUCUUAAACUUCAAGACAAAUGCACCCUAACAGCUAAUAAUAGGGCACUAGAAAUGGUACUUUUACAAUUUGGAGAGAGAUUGAUUAAAACUCUCAUGUUAAUGACAAAUGAUCUAGGCAUUUUUUGCAAUGUUCUUUGGAAACAAUUUCGAUUAUUAUGCUGAGACAAUUAAACAAUUUUUAUGAAUGUUCUGGAAAUAAUUGAUCGUAUCAUCUGAGUAUCUACAAUAAGCAAUAUAACUGAGUCUGAACUAUAACACAAAGGCAAUUUACUUGGUAAAUCAUGUGUCAUUCGGCUUUUACACUUCCCAGGUAAUCGGAUCUAUCACUGGAGUUAGGUACAUUAUUGAGUACUUUCCUGAAAUAGGAUUUGGGCCACGCCUCAAUGUCGACAUCCAUCAUGGCGCACUCACUGAAGGAUUGCUUACAUUUGCAAUUGUUACCAUCUCUCUUGGGCUUUCAAGAAAGAUCCCUGGAAGUUUCUUCAUGAAGACAUGGAUAUCAAGUGUCUCUAAAUUAGCUCUUCACAUACUUGGCUCCGAUCUGACUGGCGGUUGUAUGAACCCAGCCUCUGUAAGUGAUAUCAAUAUCAUUAGCAUUUGAUGCACAUAUCAUACAUCUGUUUUUGUUGCCAAAACUUUGGAAAACAGAGAUGAACUACUAGAGCUUUUUAAAAUGUGUAGGUGAUGGGAUGGGCUUAUGCCCGUGGAGAUCAUAUAACUAAGGAGCAUAUACUUGUAUAUUGGCUUGCUCCAAUAGAGGCAACUCUUCUGGCAGUAUGGACAUUUAAGCUACUAGUUCGACCCCAAAAGCAAGAGAAGGAAGAGUCGAAGAGUAAAUCAGAUUGAUGUUUGAUGAUAAUCAAACUGAAGCAAUCCACUGUGUUUUCUCCUUGUAAAGUUGCUUGGAUCAGUGUCUAUUUAUUGUUAAUUUAUCUCCAGCAUCUUCUUGUUGGUCAGAACUCUCUAUCAGAUGAUGGCCAACCGUGUUAGCUAGCUUAGCAGUUCUGCUUGAUUAUUUUAAUAAAUGUAAAUACUUUUGUUAGCUAAUGCAAAAUUACUAUGGAAUAAGGUUCAAAUUUCAAAUUGCCCAUUGUACUUGUCGGGGAUAUUCAAUUUAGUUAAUUUUUAAUUUGUGGUUCAA
rnacentral:misc_RNA from 1 species